UAGAGUUUGAUCCUGGCUCAGGACGAACGCUGGCGGCGUGCUUAACACAUGCAAGUCGAACGAGGCCCAAGCGUCAGCAAUGACGUGGAAGGCCUAGUGGCGAACGGGUGAGUAACACGUGAGGAACCUACCCCGGACUCAGGGAUAACAGACGGAAACAUCUGCUAAUACCUGAUGCCGUCGGAGCAUCACAUGGUGCACUGACGAAAGAAUCUCGGUUCGGGAGGGCCUCGCGGCCUAUCAGCUAGUUGGUGGGGUAACGGCCUACCAAGGCAUCGACGGGUAGCUGGUCUGAGAGGAUGAUCAGCCACACUGGGACUGAGACACGGCCCAGACUCCUACGGGAGGCAGCAGUGGGGAAUCUUGCGCAAUGGGCGAAAGCCUGACGCAGCAACGCCGCGUGCGGGAAGAAGGCCUUAGGGUUGUAAACCGCUUUCAGUAGGAACGAAAAUGACGGUACCUGCAGAAGAAGGUGCGGCCAACUACGUGCCAGCAGCCGCGGUGACACGUAGGCACCAAGCGUUGUCCGGAUUUAUUGGGCGUAAGGAGCUCGUAGGCGGUUCAGUAAGUCGGGUGUGAAAACUCUGGGCUUAACCCAGAGCCGCCACUCGAUACUGCUGUGACUAGAGUUCGGUAGGGGAGCAGGGAAUUCCUAGUGUAGCGGUGAAAUGCGCAGAUAUUAGGAGGAACACCGGUGGCGAAGGCGCUGCUCUGGGCCGAUACUGACGCUGAGGAGCGAAAGCGUGGGUAGCAAACAGGAUUAGAUACCCCUGGUAGUCCACGCCGUAAACGUUGGGCACUAGGUGUGGGGUUCCAACCAACGGAAUCCGCGCCGUCGCUAACGCAUUAAGUGCCCCGCCUGGGGAGUACGGCGGCAACGCUAAAACUCAAAGGAAUUGACGGGGGCCCGCACAAGCAGCGGAGCGUGUUGCUUAAUUCGAUGCAACGCGAAGAACCUUACCUGGGCUUGAC
rnacentral:rRNA from 1 species